rnacentral:misc_RNA from 1 species
GUAAUAAUUACUUGUUACUGACGCUGAUUGCAAUUACAAGGGUUGUAGGGUGUCCAAUCGGCGGGCAAGCCCGCCGAGGAAACAAAUAGUGCGCAAAAUCAUGGGUAAAAUCAGAAAGGUAUACGGCCACUGAAGGCUAAACCUCUGAUUAAGAAGGGUAAUGAUCCUUCCGCAGGUUCACCUACGGAAA